AGACACAAACGUGUGUGUGUGUGUGUGUGGUCUUACGUUUGACAGUGUUUAACACUCGGUUGUCCAGGGGCUUUCGGCUUGGAUCAUUGGUCGAGGAGCGGAUUCCUGUCCCACAGCUAUUGGCCAGAGUGUUUCUAUGGAUACCAUAACAACCCAAUCAGCACCUAUAGAUUAGCUCUCCCUCCCUCAGUGAGACAAUGUGACAGAGCUGUUAUGUAAAGCAGCUGCUCGCCGACUGUCAGAAUGUUCUGGAACGUUUAACGCAGUCUGAUGUCACGUGAUGUCUGCUGAUGUCAGACUGGUCGAUGCUGUUGCCUUUGUGGUUCACUGUGGGAAACGGUCGGUGCGUGGAUGGGAACACACAGGUAAGACACGUUUGGAGAAACUGUUCCACCAAUCAAACGACUGCUUACUGAUGUGUCACUGCUGGCUUCGGGACUGCUCCAAUCUGUCACAGGUGUGUCCAGGUCAGAGGUCUCCAGGACCUACAUUAGCAGCGGUCACCAAGGCCGUCCCACAGCACCUGUGGCUCCAUCACGAGCAGAAAGGGCUGUUGUCCUCGUGUUAUUUUGUUGGAUGUAUCCAAACAAACUGUGUUUCAAAUUCAUUCACGCUGACUUUCAAUGCUGUGACAGCUCUAACAUGAAGAGCACAUGGAGCACUUUCACAGGUGGACACGCAGUGUAUACGAUUUGGACAUACACACAGGUGAUAUGCUGCUUUUGACACGUCAGGCCGUGUCAGACUCACAUCAGGUCAUCUUAUUCAGUCAACAGCUCAGUCGGUGCUGCAAAUCAGGAGGUCUGAGUUGAUCCUGUGGGAACAACCUGAGAUGCCUGAAGGCUCUGGAGCCUGUUUUUGUGUGCUGUUAGAAGAUGACCAGAGCCAGUUUGCAAACGUCAGCUCACCCAUCACAGCUGGACACGUGUUGCCCUACCUGCCACCAGCUCCACCUUCUCUCCGGGGUCCCCCUCAGUGUAGAGCGAUGGGUGGCAGCGAUAUCCGAUCUGACUGAUCAGACUGGCAGGGAGGGCCAUGUUGUCCCGACCAACCAGCACACAGGGUCGACGCUCGUUAGCCAACGGGAGGGAGAGCAUCUCCAUCUUGUCUUGGACUGGAGCAAUAAGGAGUGGAGAGAAGAUGCUGCUUAAAGAAAACCCUGACUGUGGAUGGAGAACAACAAGGUAAGACUUGUUUUUAAGGGAACACAUUUUGGCUAAAUUCAAAGGUUCGGACUGUCCCACACCUGCAGACAGCUCUGAGACUGUUCAGGAAAGUGCAGUAAGGUCUGUCCAAACAAUUCAUCAGCUCCACAGGGGGCGCCGAGUGGUUUUUAUCUGGAUUUUCUCUGGCGGCUGGGUGCUUAGGACCAUGUAGUGAGAUCUGAUAUUUCACAUAGAUUUUGUUUUCUCCCCAGCUUGUGUUUUUUUGUUUGCUUGACUUCAUCUUUAACUGCUGUCCUAUCCUGCUGUCUUGUCAGCUCACUUUUUGUAUACAGAGGUUGAUUCUACGCUGUUACUGCCUCUGCUGCUGGCUCAGUACCUCCUUUACAUCCUGUCCCACAGGGCAUCUUAUUCACCUGAAGCACCAGCAUCGAUGUCCCAAAGGUCUGCAAAAGGGUCAUUCCACAACUCAAACCAAAGGAAGGGUAUUUGGACUCUUUGGAGUUUUUGGGGAAAAAAAAAUCUUUUGUUACCUUCAGAUGCUUUAGACCGAUGCCAGCACAGUGAAACCUGACUUUGAAAAGAAGGCUGUACCUGGCUGGAUGCCACUUCUUUGUGUAUUGCUUGUGGUGAAUGAACAGAUAGAUGGGACUGGACCAUGAC